CCUACGGGUGACAGCAGUGAGGAAUAUUGGUCAAUGGACGAGCGUCUGAACCAGCCAAGUAGCGUGAAGGAUGACUGCCCUAUGGGUUGUAAACUUCUUUUGUAAAGGAAUAAAACGAGGCACGUGUGCCUUUUUGCAUGUACUUUGUGGAUAAGGAUCGGCUAACUCCGUUCCAGCAGCCGCGGUAAUACGGAGGAUCCGGACGGUAUCCGGAUUUAUUGGGUUUAAAGGGAGCGUAGAUGGGUUGUUCAGUCAGGUGUGAAAGUUUGCGGCUCAACCGUAAAAUUGCAAUUGAUACUGGCAGUCUUGAGUACAGUUGAGGUAAGCGGAAUUCGUGGUGUAGCGGUGAAAUGCUUAGAUAUCACGAAGAACCCCGAUUGCGAAGGCAGCUUACUAAACUGUGACUGACAUUGAUGCUCGAAAGUGUGGGUAUCAAACAGGAUUAGAUACCCUAGUAGUC
rnacentral:rRNA from 1 species